rnacentral:rRNA from 1 species
UGGGCAAUGGCGGGGUGCUAAUACAUGCAAGUCGAACGCUUCUUUUUCCACCGGAGCUUGCUCCACCGGAAAAAGAGGAGUGGCGAACGGGUGAGUAACACGUGGGUAACCUGCCCAUCAGAAGGGGAUAACACUUGGAAACAGGUGCUAAUACCGUAUAACAAUCAAAACCGCAUGGUUUUGAUUUGAAAGGCGCUUUCGGGUGUCGCUGAUGGAUGGACCCGCGGUGCAUUAGCUAGUUGGUGAGGUAACGGCUCACCAAGGCCACGAUGCAUAGCCGACCUGAGAGGGUGAUCGGCCACAUUGGGACUGAGACACGGCCCAAACUCCUACGGGAGGCAGCAGUAGGGAAUCUUCGGCAAUGGACGAAAGUCUGACCGAGCAACGCCGCGUGAGUGAAGAAGGUUUUCGGAUCGUAAAACUCUGUUGUUAGAGAAGAACAAGGAUGAGAGUAACUGUUCAUCCCUUGACGGUAUCUAACCAGAAAGCCACGGCUAACUACGUGCCAGCAGCCGCGGUAAUACGUAGGUGGCAAGCGUUGUCCGGAUUUAUUGGGCGUAAAGCGAGCGCAGGCGGUUUCUUAAGUCUGAUGUGAAAGCCCCCGGCUCAACCGGGGAGGGUCAUUGGAAACUGGGAGACUUGAGUGCAGAAGAGGAGAGUGGAAUUCCAUGUGUAGCGGUGAAAUGCGUACAUAUAUGGAGGAACACCAGUGGCGAAGGCGGCUCUCUGGUCUGUAACUGACGCUGAGGCUCGAAAGCGUGGGGAGCAAACAGGAUUAGAUACCCUGGUAGUCCACGCCGUAAACGAUGAGUGCUAAGUGUUGGAGGGUUUCCGCCCUUCAGUGCUGCAUCUAACGCAUUAAGCACUCCGCCUGGGGAGUACUACCGCCAGGUUGAAACUCACAGGAAUUGACGGGUGUCCGCACAAGCGGUGGAGCAUGUGGUUUAAUUCAAAGCAUCGCGAAGAAUCUUACCAGGUCUUGACAUCCUUUGACCACUCUAGAAAUAGAGCUUCCCCUUCGGGGGCAAAGUGACCGGUGUUGCAUGAUAGACAUCAGUUCAUGACCCGAAAUGCUGGUUAAUUCCCGCGACGUGGCUCAGCCUUAUUGUUAGCUGUCGCCAAUAAAUUCGGACCGCUUGCCCCACUGGCAGUUAAGACCCGGAGCAAGUCCGAGAUGGGCCCAAAACCCCCCCCCCCCUUGAUAACCUGGCUGAACCCUGGGGACCAGUGGAAUCCCAACCAAUUUAGGAGCCCCGGGGGCUAACCUAUCUUUAAACCGAAUCCCCCUUUUAAAUAAAAACCCGGCCCUUUCCUUUGUUAAAACGGGAAUUCCACCGGUUUCCCAGGUUAUCCCCCCUCCUUGAAAAGAAAUUCCCACCCCGUUACACACCGCCCGUCACACCACGAGAGUUUGUAACACCCGAAGUCGGUGAGGUAACCUUUGGAGCCAGCCGCCUAAGGUGGAAGGU